ACGUAAUUUUGAAAGGUAACUUUCCAAAAAAUAAUAGCUCAAAAUUUACUGACUUAACACCUCAAUAUUUAGCUGCUGCCUUCAUGGCUGAAGCACCCAUCAGAGGUCGGGGACGAGGUAGACCUCGCGGUGGUUUUGCACAGAAGCGCUCUGUGGAGUACGAGGAUUAUAGCUCUGCGGUGUACAGCAAGAAGAGGAAGAUAAUGGAUGAUGUGUACAGGUUCCUAGUAAGGGAGGACUUGGUUCGAUCAGUGAUAGGUAAGGGGGGAGAACACAUUAAAAUUAUCAAGGAUGAAGCGAAGGAGCACGGUAUUGAAACUAAAGUGUCUAUCUACGCUCAAGGAGCAAACGGGACGCCUUUAAUGGAAGGAUCAGUGGACAGGGUGAUGAGUGUACAGUCUACGGUUGAGGGACUUGGUAUGGCGCUGGCUCAUCUUUUACCAUCAGUUCAGAUUCAUAAAAACUUCAGAACUGGUACCCGGGGCGGUGGGUCGUUCGGCAGGGGAAGUCAGAAACUAGAGCUGAGAUUGAUCGUGCCAUCUCACUGCUGUAGUGGGAUUAUAGGGAAAGGAGGGUCUGUUAUCAGGAGGAUUAAGGAGGAGACUAAAUCUUACAUUCAGGUUUACACACUUCCUCUACCACUUUCAGAGGAGUUUUGUGUCAGAAUUCAAAACUUUGAAGGCCCGGACUUGGUUAAUACGGCCGUUAAAAUAUUUGAAUCGAUAGCUGAUAUCAAAGGAAAGAAUCCAAUAAUCAUGUAUGACCCAAUAUUCUUCAACCACGGUGAGUACGGAGACACAGGGAGCUACAUCGACACAGAGUGGUAUCAGGAAGCUUUGAGAUCGGGAGCAGCACAGCCUACACCCUACAAGGCCAUCAGCUCUCAAACUCAAAGCCGAUACCCAGCUUACCCAGCUUACGAAGAGGCACAGUAUGGGUACGAGGAGUUCGUGCCUGGGUACGGGGGGUAUGGCGAGGACUAUGGGUACGAAUGUGGAGAUCCUUAUUAUUACGACUAUUACGAGUACCCUCCCCCGGUACCACGUGGCAGGAGCCGCGCACCCCCACGAGGGAGGGCCUAUCUUAGCCGGGUCUUGUCUAGGGGCUUCAGAGGUCGGCCUAGUUAUGAGGGCCGGGGAUUGAAGACGGGGAGAGAGAGCUCUGUUAAAAUAGAAUCUAUGGACUUCACCGAAUCUGGAGCGGAUACUGCUGGACAGUCUGCUCAAAUUUGAAAUCAUUUUACUAUCAUUAAAAUUACAAUAUUUUGCUUCGAAAUGUUUUCAUUAUUAUUAUUUUCCGGGGUUUUGUCGAUCUGUAAAUUUUUUGGCUCUUGGGAUGUUAUCAGACAGUUGAGAAAGUGUACUUUUAACGCAACCUCUAGGAGCCGUAACUACAGUUCGAUUAAAAAGUCAAGUUUUGCAUUUUAACGAAACUAAGCGUCUUCAAAUCGAAAAAAACUAAUUUUAAAUCAGUCAAGGCUCGAUUUUGACGCUAUAAGUAUAAAUUUCUUCAUCAGUGGUUCCUAAGGCAGUGUAGUACAUCAUAUAAAAUAGUGUAGUACGUCGUAUAAAUUCCACAUUUCAAGCUUUCCAAUUUGCCGUAGAUUCCGUUUUUCGGGGUUUCCGACGUUUCUCUGGAAUUGUAUCUGUUUUUAAAAGAAUAAUCCCUAUUUCGAGAUGGAAAAAAAUAAAAUAAAAUUCGUCUAAAAAACUUUUUUCAUCGACCAAUGGUAAGUUUUUAGAGGCGGCGUUGAAAGUCUACUUGUUCGAUCACCCCUUGAUGUCGGUUAUCUAGAAUCUAGAUAUAAUUUCCUUGCCCAUUUUCAGGAAUUCUGAAAUUAUCGUGCGAGCAAAAAUAUUGUGUUUAACAAUGUAAAGAUUGCGAUGAAGUUUGAAACAAAUUUUAAGUUAAUACAAUUUCAUUGACAGGUAUAAUAAUUUAUUGUUUUGUGAUAUAUUUUCAUUGAUUACAUGUGAAUAAAUAGACUCUUUGACUCUGGCUAUAUAAUCAAUGAAGAGAAAAGCGAAAAGAAAUUAAAAUCCAGUAAAAUUUGAAUAAAAUGUGUUUUCCUAAAAGAUCACGGUUCGUGUAAACUCUUGAACAUAACCCAAAAAGAUUUCAGAAAAUACAAAUCACUUUGAUGAUAUUCGCAAUCAACGUCGAAAAUGUCGUCAAUUACAAAUUAAGAGCCCUCAACUUUUCAAAUUUGCAGAUAUCACAGAUAACAACGUUGAUAGCUCAAAAUGUCAAAUUUUGAAACCGCCAUCUUGUAACCAAAUUUAAAAUGCCAAUUACAGAAUCAAGGUUCAGAGCGUGUGCUAAAGUCGAACCAAGAUCUAUCUGGUGUUGUCUCUCUUGGACAGUGGGUGUUGUAUCUCUUGGACAGUGGGUGCUGUCUCUCUUGGGUGUGGUCUCUCUUGGACAGUGGGUGUUGUCUCUCUUGGACAGUGGGUGUUGUCUCUCUUGGACUCCAGUUGCACUCUACAGCUAUGCUAUUUUCAUCCAUCACCAGCCUUUUUAUUAUCGGGACUGUUUUUGACAGAACUGUUCAGCUAUGAAUAAAAUAUUAAACUGGAAUACAGAUAAUGUUUAAUUUGUUAAUUUAAUUGGGUGGCGGAACAUAAUUACUGAUUCUGCUGGACUGUAUAUUAAUCUUAUGUUCGUUUAUUGGACUAUUUAUAUUUGUGCCGAGUUUUCAGUGUCUGUACUUUGAAACUUAACUUUUUAUUUGGUCUACUUAAAGUUUUAAUACAAACUGAGAAUGAUUUAUGUGAACAAGGAUAUGUUGUUGUGUGCCCCCUUAUUUAUCCUGAACAACAUUAUCAUCGGAUUGAAAACUGUGAUUAAAAUUCCUGAUACUAACAGUAAUUGUAAUAACUACAACAAUUGAAACGAUCGGAAUUGGUGAGCAACUUGAACUAGCAACUAAUCGUUUGCUCUAUAGAUUUAGUUUAAGCCAUCUGAAGAGACUCCUAGCUUAUGUUAAUGACUUGUUGAUAACUGUUUUCACAUAAAUUAAGUUGCUUUCUGAUGAUUUUUAAGAUUACAAAUUUGUUAA